AUCGAAGCUUCGUUGGCCCAGAACAGUUUCCUUUGAACUUCUUCGGUGCCAGAUCCUGAAAAAUACACAAAAUCGUACAAGCCGUGUAGCACUAACCUGUUUGGCGAGUAGUUCAGCUCUAAAGGACAAUGCACAAGGUUUAAUUGCCCUUACAUUGGCAGAGCCUCUUUUAACUACAUCACAACAUGAGCUCUGAAAGAAAAGAAUUGGACAUGGACUAAAUUAGUUUAAUUUUAUGUUGUGCCAGCAAAACAGUGGAGAAUGGACAGGGAGGCAUUUAGGCUUGUGUUCCUGAGGAAGGCAUGGGAUAAAAAGGAUAAACAAUGGAGAGCAAAUCCUUUGCUUAGGCUGAGUGCCUCCUUGUGCUCUUAGGACACACUCAGAGUGUCUAGGACUUUGACUGGUAACAAUUGUCCGCUUUUCCAAGUUACAGAAAAAAGAUUUUUUUUAUUUUG